ACAAUGGGUAACUAGGGUUCCGAUCCGGGCAGAGAUCCACCAGCAGCCCGGGUGGCUGGUCCGAGAGUUACCGACCUCUGGGAGGUUACACGGCGGGACAAAAGCCCGGGAGAC
rnacentral:sRNA from 1 species